rnacentral:lncRNA from 1 species
AUGUUGAAAUUUGAUCCACAAUGUUGGAGGUGGGGCCUAAUUGGAGGUGUUUGGAUCAUGGUGGUGGAUACUUCAUGAAUGGCUUGCUACUGUCCUCCUGGAAAUUAGUCAAGGGCCAUUGACUUCCAGACUUUCUUGAUGGAGUUCCACUGCAGCUCUGGCUUAAUUUUCUUCUUCUAUGGCCAGGAAUCCUCCUAGAUGAUGAGAUAGAUGCCAUUUUCUGUGCUCAGCAGCUCUUACCUGGACUUCUCUUCCAGAUGCACCAUGAAGAGACGUGCCUUGCUCCACCUUCACCUUCGACCAUAAUUUGUGAGAAUGCAGCAACAAGGUGCCAGCUAUGAAGCAAAGAGCCCUUACCAGACAAUGAAUCUACUGACAACUUGAUCUUGGACUCUUCAGCUUCCCAAACUGGUUACCAACUAUAUCACAUAAUGGUCCUAAGGAUUAAAUGAAAAAAAAUGCAGUAAGAUAAAGCUGAUUUAUCAAGGUUGGGGAAAUGCAAUAAAGAAAGAGGUUAAUAAUUCACAGAGCCAGCUGAAUAGAAUACCAGAGUUUUAUUUCUACACAAAUCAGUCUCCCAGUACAGAUGCAAGUGAGAUGAGAUAGUUCCCUU